rnacentral:rRNA from 1 species
UACGUAGGGGGCAAGCGUUGUCCGGAAUCAUUGGGCGUAAAGCGCGUGUAGGCGGCUCGAUAAGUCUGCUGUGAAAGUCCAGGGCUCAACCCUGGGGAUGCCGGUGGAUACUGUCGAGCUCGAGUCCGGAAGAGGCGAGUGGAAUUCCUGGUGUAGCGGUGAAAUGCGCAGAUAUCAGGAGGAACACCAAUGGCGAAGGCAGCUCGCUGGGACGGUACUGACGCUGAGACGCGAAAGCGUGGGGAGCAAACAGGAU